AGAAACGAACUAUUCCUUCUCUGGCGCUGCCAGGGUCGACCUUCGCUAAAGAGAAACAAAAUUCAUUGUAGUCUCCCUUUAACAGUGUUCACUGAGAAAUUGUCUGGUGAUGUGGCAGGUCUGCAGCAGUACCGCCCUCUGACAGGCAACCAGAACCUUCUCAGGUGGUUGUUCAGAGCGAAAAGUGUUGCAGUUUCUGAAGCCGCUGUUUGGAUCAACUAGCCCCACAUUCCUUCUGAUGUCUAGUUUUUACAAUUUUCCAGAAGUAACAACAGACAUUACUAAAAACAUGGAUUGCUACGAUGUCGAAGGAAUUAUUUGAACGAAACAAAACAAAAAAGUCUGCACGAACAACCAAGUUAUGAAACAAUAAAAGAAAGAAAUGUACAUAG
rnacentral:sRNA from 1 species